AUUGAACGCUGGCGGCAGGCUUAACACAUGCAAGUCGAGCGGGGUGAUGGUGCUUGCACUAUCACUUAGCGGCGGACGGGUGAGUAAUGCUUAGGAAUCUGCCUAUUAGUGGGGGACAACAUCUCGAAAGGGAUGCUAAUACCGCAUACGUCCUACGGGAGAAAGCAGGGGAUCACUUGUGACCUUGCGCUAAUAGAUGAGCCUAAGUCGGAUUAGCUAGUUGGUGGGGUAAUGGCUCACCAAGGCGACGAUCCGUAACUGGUCUGAGAGGAUGAUCAGUCACACUGGAACUGAGACACGGCCCAGACUCCUACGGGAGGCAGCAGUGGGGAAUAUUGGACAAUGGGGGGAACCCUGAUCCAGCCAUGCCGCGUGUGUGAAGAAGGCCUUAUGGUUGUAAAGCACUUUAAGCGAGGAGGAGGCUCUUUUGGUUAAUACCCAGAAUGAGUGGACGUUACUCGCAGAAUAAGCACCGGCUAACUCUGUGCCAGCAGCCGCAGUAA
rnacentral:rRNA from 1 species